GAGCAUCGUCCGUAAUAGGCUGCAUCAAACUUGGUCCAGUCUCGAGCGACAGUGCAUAAAUCAAAAGCUGGUUUUAAUCAACGGCGGCCAAACAACUGCUGAGAUGGAUCCACAGAUGGGUGCUUCUGUGCCUGUCUACUAUUCCCAUCUCACAAUU
rnacentral:snoRNA from 1 species